CACCAUUUUGCGUCCCCACCAGCGGUGCGCGAGCGUUCGUUUCUCCACGGCCUCGCCAGCACUUGUCUGUCCCUGUGACUUCAGCGAUGCUAGUGGGUGUGAAGUGCAAUCUCGUAUCUUUUUUUUUAAUUUAAGUUUAUUCACUUAUUUUGAGACACAGAGAGAGAGGCAAGUGGAGAGGGAAAUAGAGACAAUCCCAAGCAGGCUCCUCAGUGUCAGCAAAGAGCCCAACAUGGGGCUCGAACCCACAUACCGUGAGAUCAUGACCUGAGCUGAAAGCAAGAGUCAGAUGGCCAACCGACUGAGCCACCCAGGCGCCCCUCGUUGUAUCUUUGAUUAGCCUUUCUCUGAUGACAUUGAGCCUCUUGUCAUGUGUUUUAUGUUCAUUUGAGGAUCUUCCUUGGAGGAUUGUCUAUUUGGGUCCUUCGUCCAUUCUUUUAUCGGGUUGGUUUUCUUGUUCCUGAGUUACAAGAGUUCUCUAUAUAUUAUUGGUAUCGAUUACUUAUCAGAUAUCUGAUUUGUGACUAUAUCCUCCCAUUCUAUGGGUUGUUUUUCGUGUUUUGAUAGUGUCCUUUCCAUGCAUGAAGUUUUUAAAGUUUUUUUAAUGUUUUAUUUUUGAGAGUCAUAGCACGAGCAGGGGAGAGGUAGAGAGAGAGGGGGGACACAGAAUUCUAAGCAGGCUCCAGGCUCUGAGCUGUCAGCACAGAGUUCGACCUGGGGCUCGAACCCAUGGACCGUGAUAUCGUGACCUGAGCCGUAGUCGGAUGCUCAACCAACUGAGCCACCCAGGUGCCCCUGAAGGUUUUUAAUCUUAAUGAAAUCCAGCUUAUGCCAGUGUGGCUUUAGUUGGCAUGUCACUCAUCGUGAGUGAGCUUGAACAUUGCAGUCUUCCUUUAUGGAAAUUUACAACGUGGCUAAACUAGCAGGAUGCACAAAGCCAUACAUUCUCAAAUGUGUGUGUUAGGUUUAUGGUCCACCCUUUGCAAAGUGGCACAGUUAGGCAUAUGUGACAAUUAGAAAACUGGACCGUAGCAGGAAGGCACAAACUCCUGUUCCACCGAUUCUUUAGUUUUAGGACUCCUUCAGAGAGGAGUUGCUCUUGGUCAUGCUGGGAGGCAAUACCCGGCUCAUGGAGGUUUUCUCACGGCUCUUCCUCCCGAAACUGCUUCUCUUGUCAUUCCCAUCUGGGUAAGUAGCACCUUCAUCCAAGCCAGAAAGCCAGCGGCCCAGAGUCUUACUGACUUGGCUUGCACAGCUUUCCCAGCAUGCUGCCCUCUGUCCUUCCCACCGCUGAUGCCCACAGGCGGGCCUGGACUCCAGCAAUGCCUCCUCUUUAGGCUCCCGGCCUCCAGGCUUCCCCUCCAGCUUUCAGGGGUCCUCCAGAGGGAUUUUUAAAUUUUCCUUUGAAAUUUUGUGUCCCACGGUAUAGUGGGUUGACUAGUGUCCCCCGCCCCAAACUUCAUGUCCAUUCAAAACCUCAGAAUGUAACCUUAUUUGGAAUAAGGGACUUUGCAGAUGUAGUUAAGGGUCUCCAGACAAAAUUAUCAUGCAUUUAGGGUAGACCCGAAAUCCAGUGACCGGUGUCAUCCUAAGUAGAAGAGACAGACGCUGGGAGAAGGCCAUGAGAAGAUGAUGGCAGAGAUUGGGGGGGUGGUCACAAGCUAAGGAGUGCUAGCAGCCGCCAAAAGCUGGGAAAGGCAGAGAAGCCGCCUCUGGAGGAGCAAAGCCCCGCAACACCUUGAUUUAGGACUUGUGGCUUCUAGACUGGGCAAGAAUGGAUCCAUGCUGCCGUAGGCCUCCCAGUGUGUGGCAGUGUGUUAUGGCGGCUUCAGGACACUGAUACAUAUCUGUCAGCCACUGUCACUGGAGGACACAUGAGAAAACACAGAUAAACAGAGAAAUGAGCACAGGCAGUUCCAUCCUCCGGAGACGGAUACUGUUUAACACUUCAGCGUCUAGCUUGUUAGAGUAAUAGUCCUUAAAUGCAACCUUCUAAAAUGCUUAAGGGGCACCUGGGUGGCUCAGUCAGUUGAGUGUCCAACCCUCAGUUUCAGCUCAGGUCAUGAUCUCACGAUUCAAGAGAUCGAGCCCCACGUCGGGCUCUGCACAGACAGCACCUAACCUGAUUGGGAGUCUCUCUUUCCCCCUCUCUUUGCCCUUCCCCUCCCUGUGCACUUUUUUCUCUCUCUCUCUCAAAAUAAGUAAGUAAACAUGGGGAAAAAAUAAAAUAAAUAAAAUGCUUCCAACUUUCCCAAUGCUUUCAGGAUAAAACCUGAAACUGCUUGCUGGAGCCUCCCAGACCAACCUUUUUUGUAGCUGCUUUUCCAUCCACUGUAAGAAUCAGCUUGCACCCUGCCUCUGCUUGUUCUCCAGGCGGAUGGGCCUGGCCUGUGCCUUCAGCCUCCUGUUUCGUGGCCUUGUCGCGGCGCCGUGGAUUUACCCUUUCCUCUGGAGCUGAGGCCGCUGGGCCAGCGGAGCCUGAGAGGCGGAAACAAUGUUGGUGGCCGCUGGGACAGGGGACUGGGAGAAGUAAGACACUAGAAAGGAACCUGGUGAGGAAAAGCCACAGGGACCGUCCUGGUCUACAGCGUUUGGGAGCAUUGCCUCCUUGGCCGCACACCACACAGCAGCCUUCGUACAGCACGUCCUGGCCCGGAUUCAAGGAAACUUUGUCUUAAACCAGCUAUGACUCACGGCAGUCUGUGAAGUCUACCUUUGUAAACAAAGAUAAAGCAACUACGUUUUCUCCCUACCUCAUCCCUCCAGACUUUGGAAACUCCCAAAUCUGUUCUCCUUGCAACAGGACACUAUUGGAAACACUGGUCAUAUUACCAAGGCUUUGGCUAGAAUAUCCUAUCUGAGAACGACGCGCAUAGACUAAGAUAUGACCAGACAGCGCUAAGGAACAAAAAGUGACUGUGUGGAACCAACCCUUGGAAAAAUCAGCCUGAUAACCUUGCUGGGGUUCCCAACAGCCUUAUCAUGUGAGUCAGGAAGAUUGCCUCCUGACAGGCCCAGGAACCUCACGAAGAGGGACUGCCCCCCUAAAUUUAUAGGUAUUCUAGGUAAGAUCGGACAGGGAGGUGUCGGCUUGGCUUCUUAGCCUGGAGAGGCUUUUCAGAGUUCCAUCUGAGAUUCCUUAUGAAAAGUUCCAGGAAAGCAGACUUGAAAGAGCCUGGAUGGUCAGUCCCUAUUCUUGCUGCACUCACGCAAACAAGAGAGCCGAGUUUAUUGCGACUAGACUGAAUUUGCAAACAAAAUAGUCUUGCUACGGUUGUCCUUGCCACAGAUGGGGCGAUUACAGAGAGAACAGGUCUGCUUCAGUAACACACCUUCACAGGUAUAUUCUAGCACCGCGGAUUAUCUUUGGUGUUUGUCUUCACCUAGGCUAGAUCCUGAAUUCUAGUUUCUUCCAGUAGUCGGCUACAACUCCAAACUUCCAGCAUUUCUCCCGCCCUCUGACCUGGGAUCCUUGAGACCUAAAACCGCCCAUCCCACAACCGGGCAGGCCCAAGUGGGGCGACUCGAUCCAAGCUUCGGAGGGACCACCACAGCAGCUCGCGGGGGGACAGUCUUUGUGCCUGUUGCCGGUGGGCCCCUCAGGACGGUCACCAGAGACGUUCACGCCACAGACCAGGCACGUCUGCCAGGUUGCCGCUGCCCGCCCUCCCCUCGCCCGAGGACAUUUUGAGCCCUAGAUGUGCCCUAGUUAUCCCCUCCACGUGGCGGCACUCGGAGCUCAGGAACGGCGUUGUCGUCGGCCCCAGUCUUUAACCUCUGUUGCGUCAUGUGACGCCGUCACAAGACGUAGGGACGAAGACCGGUUGGAUGAGAUAUGGAGCAACCUGCCGGCUCCGGACAGGUUCAAACCCACUGACGCCAGGUGCAGGCCGCUUGCAGGCCACCAGCUUGAGCGAGGGAAGCCUGAGUGAGGAAGGAGGGCCCACAGUGACCCCCUGACUGAAGACAGACCGGCGCAUUAGGCGAUCCACCUCGAAAUAUCCGUAAGCCCUAGCUGACCAGUGGAUUACUUACACCCGGAUCCAGGUGCCAAAAAAGGAAAAUUCCGCACGUUCCUGUCCCUCCUCACCUUCCCCCUUUCCUGCAGCCCCCCCCC